CCUACGGGGUGUAGCAGUGAGGAAUAUUGGUCAAUGGGCGAGAGCCUGAACCAGCCAAGUCGCGUGAGGGAGUACUGCCCUAUGGGUUGUAAACCUCUUUUGUCGGGGAGCAAAAGCCGGACGUGUCCGGCUGUGAGAGUACCCGAAGAAAAAGCAUCGGCUAACUCCGUGCCAGCAGCCGCGGUAAUACGGAGGAUGCGAGCGUUAUCCGGAUUUAUUGGGUUUAAAGGGUGCGCAGGCGGAUUUUUAAGUCAGCGGUAAAAUCGUGGGGCUCAACCCCAUCCAGCCGUUGAAACUGGGGAUCUAGAGUGUGCGAGAGGUAUGCGGAAUGCGUGGUGUAGCGGUGAAAUGCAUAGAUAUCACGCAGAACCCCGAUUGCGAAGGCAGCAUACCGGUGCACAACUGACGCUCAGGCACGAAAGCGUGGGUAUCGAACAGGAUUAGAUACCCUUGUAGUC
rnacentral:rRNA from 1 species